UCUACCGAACCCUGGUGUUGCGACAGGUGUGCAGAAGAAGAAACCGAAGCGUUUCAUUAAUGUAUACAUUGUGUUUGGUUUUGGGCUUCGCGAAACAAUUUUGUGGGCUUUAGUGUUUUAAUCAUCAAAUCUGGUCCCAUAGAGAGAUAUGAGUAUCGUCUUCCCCAAAGUCACACCCAAAUCUAGGGUUCAUGUUCUUCUUAGAUCUCAGACACCAGCGAUGUUCUUCUUCGUUCUCUGACAUCAACAAUGGCGCUUCGAGCUGUUGGGGUGUAUAUGCUCUUACUGAAGUGAUUUGAGGGAGAAAGGGAUGAGAAUUUUCCUCAAGAAGGUGUGGUCUGUGGUGGAGCUUUGUCGUACGGAAGUUACGAAUUACGAUCUACAAGGUUCCACGAGAGUUCAUCAUCACAACCCUAAUUCUAAACCGCUUGAAGGUCUUCCCUUUACUGUGCUUACAGCUCAAACCUGUAAUCACAACAUGCCGUUGACUGAGCAACAUAAAGAAGAAAGAGAGAACUCAGUGAGUUAUGUAUGAUGAUCAUGAACCAAUUUUUGGCGUAUUGCUUUUCAUGACGACAUCCGUAAUGAAACGUUUGAUGAUUCCCAGGACACAUGGUUUUGCGCAAUGCAAUCAAUACAGUAGGGACUGAUGAAGAUGCUCUGACCCGUGUGAUUGUCUCACGAGCAGACAAGGACCUGAAGAAGACCACUGAGCCUUAUCACAAGAGGAACAAUGAGAGUCUCGAUCAAGCCAUAGCGAAAAAGACAUCAAGGGACUACAAGGCUUUUCUUCUAGCCUUGCUAGGAAACGGAGGAAUCUAGAGUUCACCCUCAAAAUCAAAACCUGACAAGAGUAGCAUUUCUUUCUAAUUUCUGCUCAAGUACUAACUAGACCCUGGCGCCGGUUUGAAUUUUUGGUUUUUGGUUAUUUAUUUAACUAAAUAAUGUAUUUCUAAUAUUUGAUGUA